rnacentral:rRNA from 1 species
UGGGGAAUUUUGGACAAUGGGCGCAAGCCUGAUCCAGCCAUGCCGCGUGUGGGAAGAAGGCCUUCGGGUUGUAAACCACUUUUGUCAGGGAAGAAACGGCCUGAUCUAAUACAUUGGGUUAAUGACGGUACCUGAAGAAUAAGCACCGGCUAACUACGUGCCAGCAGCCGCGGUAAUACGUAGGGACCAAGCGUUGUUCGGAUUUACUGGGCGUAAAGGGCGCGUAGGCGGCAAUUCAAGUCAUCUGUGAAAUCUCCGGGCUUAACUCGGAACGGUCAGAUGAUACUGCUUUGCUAGAGUGCAGAAGGGGCAAUCGGAAUUCUUGGUGUAGCGGUGAAAUGCGUAGAUAUCAAGAGGAACACCUGAGGUGAAGACGGGUUGCUGGGCUGACACUGACGCUGAGGCGCGAAAGCCAGGGGAGCAAACGGGAUUAGAUACCCUAGUAGUCCCUGAGCGGGCUGGCAAGGCGCAU